GGGGCCGUAGCUCAGUCGGUUAGAGCGAGCGACUCAUAAUCGCCAGGUCCAGGGUUCAAGCCCCUGCGGCCCUACCC
rnacentral:tRNA from 1 species